GGGGCGUUAGCCAAGUGGUCCAAGGCGCCGGCCUGUCUCGCCGGAGAUCAUGGGUUCGAAUCCCAUACGCCUCG
rnacentral:tRNA from 1 species